rnacentral:lncRNA from 13 species
AAUGAGGCAAAAAUUAACCAGAAAACAUACAUACACCCAGGGAAAAGUUGCAGAGAAGUGCAAAUUACCAGGCUUAAGAUAAAUUAAGAAGCACUGGCACCUUCACUGAUCUUCAUACCAAGAGCUGCCCAUAAAGUGGUGCUGCCGAGAUUGGAUUGCUCCUGCAUGCUCCCUCAGUGAUUUUUAUAUUUUAAUAAGACCGUUCAUUAUAGUUAGCUCCGUGUGUUGGAGCCAUUAGAUAUUUAUGGGAAAUAGCAUAUCAUUAUCUCAGUUGCAUUCUGAGCCAUUUGGGAUGCUUUUAAGUUAGGGUGAUUUUUUUCCUGUCUCAA